UAUUACCGAAGCUGUGGAUUGUCCUUUGGACAAUGGUAGGAGAGCGUUCUAAGGGCGUUGAAGCAUGAUCGUAAGGACAUGUGGAGCGCUUAGAAGUGAGAAUGCCGGUGUGAGUAGCGAAAGACGGGUGAGAAUCCCGUCCACCGAUUGACUAAGGUUUCCAGAGGAAGGCUCGUCCGCUCUGGGUUAGUCGGGUCCUAAGCUGAGGCCGACAGGCGUAGGCGAUGGAUAACAGGUUGAUAUUCCUGUACCACCUAUAAUCGUUUUAAUCGAUGGGGGGACGCAGUAGGAUAGGCGAAGCGUGCGAUUGGAUUGCACGUCUAAGCAGUAAGGCUGAGUAUUAGGCAAAUCCGGUACUCGUUAAGGCUGAGCUGUGAUGGGGAGAAGACAUUGAGUCUUCGAGUCGUUGAUUUCACACUGCCGAGAAAAGCCUCUAGAUAGAAAAUAGGUGCCCGUACCGCAAACCGACACAGGUAGUCAAGAUGAGAAUUCUAAGGUGAGCGAGCGAACUCUCGUUAAGGAACUCGGCAAAAUGACCCCGUAACUUCGGGAGAAGGGGUGCUCUUUAGGGUUAACGCCCAGAAGAGCCGCAGUGAAUAGGCCCAAGCGACUGUUUAUCAAAAACACAGGUCUCUGCUAAACCGUAAGGUGAUGUAUAGGGGCUGACGCCUGCCCGGUGCUGGAAGGUUAAGAGGAGUGGUUAGCUUCUGCGAAGCUACGAAUCGAAGCCCCAGUAAACGGCGGCCGUAACUAUAACGGUCCUAAGGUAGCGAAAUUCCUUGUCGGGUAAGUUCCGACCCGCACGAAAGGCGUAACGAUUUGGGCACUGUCUCAACGAGAGACUCGGUGAAAUCAUAGUACCUGUGAAGAUGCAGGUUACCCGCGACAGGACGGAAAGACCCCGUGGAGCUUUACUGUAGCCUGAUAUUGAAAUUCGGCACAGCUUGUACAGGAUAGGUAGGAGCCUUUGAAACGUGAGCGCUAGCUUACGUGGAGGCGCUGGUGGGAUACUACCCUAGCUGUGUUGGCUUUCUAACCCGCACCACUUAUCGUGGUGGGAGACAGUGUCA
rnacentral:rRNA from 1 species